rnacentral:lncRNA from 1 species
CACGUGUAAACUCUGUCGAGUCUUGACUAUGUAAACUCUGAUCAGACUUUAUUUAAACUCUGUCAGACUUUACUAAACUCUGAUCAGCUUCCAGUUUAAACUCUGAUGAUUCCUGUUCUAAAACAGACUUUAAGAAUAUUAGUAAUCAUCAAUUAUAUCUAACAAUCUCCCCCAACUUGUGCAUGAAUAAGUUAUGUGCAAGUUAACAGAUAAUUGAUGAUGUCAAAACAUUUAAGUCAAAUGCAACAGAGUUUAACUAU